rnacentral:ncRNA from 1 species
AACGCCGGGUUAAGGCGCCCGAUGCCGACGCUCAUCAGACCCCAGAAAAGGUGUUGGUUGAUAUAGACAGCAGGACGGUGGCCAUGGAAGUCGGAAUCCGCUAAGGAGUGUGUAACAACUCACCUGCCGAAUCAACUAGCCCUGAAAAUGGAUGGCGCUGGAGCAUCGGGCCCAUACCCGGCCGUCGCUGGCAAUGGGCAAAAGCAGGAACAGAAACGUGUUGUUUCCCGAGAACGGAUUCCGCGCGCGGGAGGAAGGCGCGAACUCACUCCUCGGGGGCUAGGCCGCGACG